rnacentral:rRNA from 1 species
GACGAACGCUGGCGGCGUGCCUAAUACAUGCAAGUAGAACGAGUUGCGAAAGGGUGAGGAACGCGUAGGUAACUGCCUCAGAGCGGGGGAUAACGAUUGGAAACGAAAGCUAAUACCCCAGAACGUGAGAUGGACCUGCGUUGUAUUAGCUAGGUGGCGGGGUAAAGGCUCACCAAGGCGACGUUACAUAGCCGACAUGAGAGGGGGGUCGGCCCCCCUGGUACUGAGACACGCCCCAUACGCCUACGGGUGCCAGCCGUACGGCAUCGGCGGCAAUGGGCGGAAGUCUGACCAAGCAACGCCGCGUGCGUGAAGAGGGUUUUCGGGUCGUAGAUCACUGUUGUUGGAUAAGCGGUAACUAACCAGAAAGGGACGGCUAACUACGUGCCAGCAGCCGCGGUAAUAC